CAGUAGCCGCGGGAAUACAGAGGGUGCGAGCGUUAAUCGGAUUUACUGGGCGUAAAGCGUGCGUAGGCGGCUUUUUAAGUCGGAUGUGAAAUCCCUGAGCUUAACUUAGGAAUUGCAUUCGAUACUGGGAAGCUAGAGUAUGGGAGAGGAUGGUAGAAUUCCAGGUGUAGCGGUGAAAUGCGUAGAGAUCUGGAGGAAUACCGAUGGCGAAGGCAGCCAUCUGGCCUAAUACUGACGCUGAGGUACGAAAGCAUGGGGAGCAAACAGGAUUAGAUACCCCUGUAGUCCCUGUCUCUUAUAC
rnacentral:rRNA from 1 species